UCGAGUGAUUCAAAGUUCUACCGAUAGGUAUUGAAAAGAUCUACAACUUGGCGUUGGUCUCCUCCUCAAAUUCGUUACGGAUUUUGCAUGAUCAAGAUCUGGUCAGAUCUGACUUUGUCGAAUUAAACCAGGAGCUUGGAGACGAAUUUUUGAAUGAAACCAACUGGGGGGUACUUAGCUUGUGCCAUGGUGAUACCGAGAGAGGCAAUUGCUAAGUUGUGAUACUCUCAUACCUUUACUAGAUUGCGAACGAUUCCGGAGAAGAUGAAGAAGUGGAUCGGACAAGGAUUUUAUUUAUGUUAAUGGGAUUCUUUUAUUGAUGGAGUUGAAGAAGUACAGGGACAAAUAAGCCAAGGCAAGCCAUCUUUUGAUCUCUGAUUCGGUGUCUAGUUGGAUGUCAUUUGUUGAUAUCCAAAGCACCUUGAUUCUA